AGCAGCCACGGUAAUUCCAGCUCCAAUAGCGUAUAUUAAAGUUGUUGCAGUUAAAAAGCUCGUAGUUGAAUUUCGGGGUCAGUAGAUUGGUCGUGCCACUGGUAUGCACUGGUCUUACUGAUUCCUCCUUCCUGAUAAACCGUAAUGCCAUUAAUUUGGUGUUGCGGGGAAACUGGACUGUUACUUUGAAAAAAUUAGAGUGUUUAAAGCAAGCUAACGCUUGAAUACAUUAGCAUGGAAUAAUGAAAUAGGACGUUCGAUCCUAUUUUGUUGGUUUCUAGGAUUGACGUAAUGAUUAAUAGGGAUAGUUGGGGGGCAUUAGUAUUCAAUUGUCAGAGGUGAAAUUCUUGGAUUUAUUGAAGACUAACUACUGCGAAAGCAUUUGCCAAGGAUGUUUUCAUUAAUCAAGAACGAAAGUUAGGGGAUCGAAGACGAUCAGAUACCGUCGUAGUCUUAACCAUAAACUAUGCCGACUAGGGGUCGGAUGAUGUUAAUUUUAUAAUGACUCAUUCGGCGCCUU
rnacentral:rRNA from 1 species